AUGAAGCUGAACGUUGAGUUCCAUGGGAGUGACAACAGUGUGCUCAUCACCGAGAGCAGCGCGAGUAAGAAGAUCCUGAAUAUAUAUUUCUUGGGAGAUGUAGAAGCCAUCAGAGGUCGAAGAGAUCUCAAUCCCAAGAAAAUAGCGAAGUGGACCAAGAUCAGUCAUGAGAAACUGGUCGUGAAGACGAGCCUUAACAAAGGCAAUGUAAUCAGAGUCGUCACCAGUGAUGAUCAUGUCAUCAACAUAGAGAAGGAGACGUGUGAAGAAACAACGCUGGAUCAUGAUUACUGGGCAAGAAACCAGCGGCAGUCACCACAGAGGCAAAGCGCUCAAACCAGGCACGAGGGGCCUGUUUGA
rnacentral:rRNA from 1 species